GAAAAACAGAAAAAAAAGAAAGAUAGAAGAACAAUCAUGCCUCAUUGGGCUUUUUUAUGCUAGCGGUGUAUUAUAUUUUAUGUGAAGAAACAAGGAAACAAUAGUUUGGCAAAACUAGCAUAAAAUAAUAUUUUGAUAAGGCUAUGAUCCGAAAGCGAAGAAGGAAAAAUAACUAGUUGGAAAUUGCGUUGUUGCAGCUCUACCCCCGUGCACACAGGGUACCCUCAUAAUACCCUUGCUUCAUAUGAUGAGUCCAUCUUCAAUAAAUGAUGGAGUUAGGUUCGAUAUCCUUCGAGCUACCCUUCUUAAAUGUGCAGUUAACGAUACGCGUUCUGUGUUCCUAUCGCUUUCCUUCACAUAUUACGUUAAGUAAGAGUCAAAUAACGUUAAAACUGUUUGGUGCUGCAUUAAAAUCGAUAAAACCCCACUGCAACCUAAAACACUUACACACAGGUAACACAUGGUGCGCUAGUAUACGUCUAAAAAUGGGUGAACUUGAGACUUUAGUAAUACCGAUAAAUUUAGACGUCUACAAGCUGUCCAUAACGCUAUACAUUAUUUAUACGUCUAAGAAGGUGUGGUCUACGAGACAUGGCCGAGAUACUUCGCAGUAGACGUCUACCGUUAGACGUCUAAAAGCAUGUCACACGUUGACCACAUUUAGACUUGCAUCACAAAUGUAUGCAAAUAUUUUCACUGGAGCUAUAAUACAAGGUUGCCUCUGUGCUUUGCGAAAAAUUAUCAAAGUAGUUUGUUGUUGCUGCUGUCAUGACAGAGCGACUACAAACCGUUUGUCUUGCAACCGUAAGGCUCAGCGCGGUUGAAUUCGAUUGUUAUUUGCACUGACCACAUGAACAACCUAGUCUGAUAAAGUUACAAGCAGGCAAAAGAAAAUGUGACUGCGCAAGAGUGCUGCAAUGAGACGAAAACAUAAGCGCGAAGAAGCCCUCGGCGCACCAGUUUGGAAACGGCGUCUGCAGAGGGCGCCGCCAGCGGCGCAGCGCAACGGUCAGUGUUCAAAUUUGUUCGCUCAGUUGCUGGAGCUCACGCUCGCUACUGAAGUGUUUCGAAGUUUACUAAGUUUAUUUCUUGCAUAGUGUCGCGCGUAUCUUUUCUUGCAAUCUGUGGGUCAACCGGACAGUUCUGGCAUCCUGUCCAAUACAAUGAGCGAUAUCGUUAAGCGCUGCUGUAGCGGGGAGGCAACGUCCCUUUGUUCGCCGGACUUCAGGUUUCAGGGCAUGAUGUUGCGAAUGAUUGACGAACACAAUAAGAAUGUGGGACUGACCUAAAUGUGUUAACAAGAUUGUCGGUUACGUUCAAUGCUGUCUGUUCAGCGUGGUUGCAACGAACAAUAUGGAGAUUUGGGACUGACCUAUGUGCUGUAGAGUCUUGGAAUGAAGGUCACGAUUACUACGCCUGGCCUGUGACCCAUUUGUUGGCACUUCAGCUCAGCUGGAGCUACGAUCACAUUUUAGGUACUUCCAGGCUCAUACGACGAACACAACGCCUGUCCUGUGAGCCAUUUGUUGGCACUUCAGCUUAGCUGCAGCUACGAUCCCAUUUCAGAUGGAGAGUCUGAACUGCAUCGGAUUCAUGUCAUCUAUGUCAUUGUACCUCGGAAACGUUCCCUCCUGCUACCCACAGCCGUCUACCACCCCACACGUGUGUAAAGUACUGGUUGCCUUUGGAGCACUCCAGCAUGGACCCAAAGGCAGAGGCAAUGCUUGCAGCUACCAGUGACACAAGUGCUGCGAUUUGUGUACAUGUACAUUACUAUCUACUUCGGAAGAGUACCAAGAUUUCUUGGUAUGUGAUUCUACAAUGAGGGGAAGUGCUCACGAUGUCUGCUAACUUGUCCGCAUGUUUGGAAGUCAGUGUUUGCCCGGUAUGUUCAUAGAAAUAAAUCUUUUACCAACAUCCA